rnacentral:rRNA from 1 species
UGAACGCUGGCGGUAGGCCUAACACAUGCAAGUCGAACGGCAGCACAGUAAGAGCUUGCUCUUACGGGUGGCGAGUGGCGGACGGGUGAGGAAUACAUCGGAAUCUACUUUUUCGUGGGGGAUAACGUAGGGAAACUUACGCUAAUACCGCAUACGACCUACGGGUGAAAGCAGGGGAUCUUCGGACCUUGCGCGAUUGAAUGAGCCGAUGUCGGAUUAGCUAGUUGGCGGGGUAAAGGCCCACCAAGGCGACGAUCCGUAGCUGGUCUGAGAGGAUGAUCAGCCACACUGGAACUGAGACACGGUCCAGACUCCUACGGGAGGCAGCAGUGGGGAAUAUUGGACAAUGGGCGCAAGCCUGAUCCAGCCAUACCGCGUGGGUGAAGAAGGCCUUCGGGUUGUAAAGCCCCUUUGUUGGGAAAGAAAAGCAGCAGGUUAAUACCCCGCUGUUCUGACGGUACCCAAAGAAUAAGCACCGGCUAACUUCGUG